CCUACGGGUGGCAGCAGUCGGGAAUCUUGCUCAAUGGGGGAAACCCUGAUGCAGCAACGCCGCGUGGAGGAUGAAGGUUUUCGGAUUGUAAACUCCUUUUGUUAGAGAAGAUAAUGACGGUAUCUAACGAAUAAGCACCGGCUAACUCGGUGCCAGCAGCCGCGGUAAUACGGAGGGUGCAAGCGUUACUCGGAAUCACUGGGCGUAAAGAGCGCGUAGGCGGGAUAGCAAGUCAGAUGUGAAAUCCUAUGGCUUAACCAUAGAACUGCAUUUGAAACUGUUAUUCUAGAGUAUGGGAGAGGGAGGUGGAAUGCUGGGUGUAGGGGUAAAAUGCGUAGAGAUCAAGAGGAAUACUCAUUGCGAAGGCGAGCUGCUAGAACAUAACUGACGCUGAUGCGCGAAAGCGUGGGGAGCAAACAGGAUUAGAUACCCGUGUAGUC
rnacentral:rRNA from 1 species